rnacentral:rRNA from 1 species
AUUUAACUCUGGCGUCAUGCCUAACACAUGCAAGUCGCGCGGAUGAAGGAAGCUUGCUCCUUGAUUCUGCGGCGGACGGGUGAGUAAUGCCUUGGAAUCUGCCUGGCAGUGGGGGAUAACGUCCCGUAACGGGCUCUAAUACCGCACACGUCCUUAGGGCGAACGUGGGUGAUCUUCGGACCUCACGCUAUCAGAUGAUCCUAUGUCGGAUUAGCUAGUUGGUGGGGUAAAGGCCUACCAAGGCGACGAUCCGUAACUGGUCUGAGCGGCUGAUCAGUCACACUGGAACUGAGACACGGUCGAGAAUCCUACGGGAGGCAGCAGUGGGGAAUAUUGGACAAUGGGCGAAAGCCUGAUCCAGCCAUGCCGCGUGAGUGAAGAAGGUCUUCGGAUUGUAAAGCACUUUUAGUUGGGAGGAAGGGCAGUAAGUUAAUACCUUGCUGUUUUGACGUUACCAACAGAAUAAGCACCGGCUAGCUUCGUG